rnacentral:rRNA from 1 species
CCUACGGGAGGCAGCAGUGGGGAAUAUUGGACAAUGGGGGCAACCCUGAUCCAGCAAUACCGCGUGUGUGAAGAAGGCCUUCGGGUUGUAAAGCACUUUUAUCAGGAACGAAACACGCACGGUUAAUAACCUUGCGGACUGACGGUACCUGAGGAAUAAGCACCGGCUAACUUCGUGCCAGCAGCCGCGGUAAU